CAUCGCCGCGGGAAUACAGAGGGUGCGAGCGUUAAUCGGAUUUACUGGGCGUAAAGAGUGCGUAGGCGGCUUCUUAAGUAGGAUGUGAAAUCCCUGAGCUUAACUUAGGAAUUGCAUUCGAUACUGGGAAGCUAGAGUAUGGGAGAGGAUGGUAGAAUUCCAGGUGUAGCGGUGAAAUGCGUAGAGAUCUGGAGGAAUACCGAUGGCGAAGGCAGCCAUCUGGCCUAAUACUGACGCUGAGGUACGAAAGCAUGGGGAGCAAACAGGAUUAGAUACCCCUGUAGUCCCUGUCUCUUAUACA
rnacentral:rRNA from 1 species